rnacentral:lncRNA from 1 species
AAGCUUCUCAAGCGUCUGGCGCUUGGGGUCACUGCCCUCAAGGAGGCACCUGGAGGGGGGGAUGGCGUCCACUCCGAUGGGGAAUGAGGGGGAGAAGAAGAGCAGCUGGCCAUCUCAAGCUGCACCCUCCUUGAGAGGAGGUCCGGCUUCGUUAUCUCGUUCUGAGGAAUACCUGUCCCAGAUCAGUGCAGAACUCAUGGAGGAGGCUUUGUGCACUGCUUGCUGCCACUUGAACCCUGUGCCCAUCAAAAAAAAGCAGUCACAAGACCAAGCGACUCAGAUAUCCAAACGCGCAUUCUUCACCAAGACCUGAGGCACAGACACCUGGUGAGUGAGGCUUCAAGGGAGAUGCUCUUUGUCCUGGGAGAGAGCCCUCUCCCCUCUCUUCCACCAUCUCCUGCUCGGACAGAAACCGUACCUGCAGCAAGGCAUACCUCCUGCCAACUCCUGGUGAAAAGAACAUGCCUCAAAACUACUCUUUUGCCACUCGUUAACCACUUCCGUUUGUGGGGACCUCCUGGUCAUGAGCAGCAUCAUCCCGAAGCCUUCAAAGUGUUCUGGAUUCAUCACAGGACCCUCCAGCCUCAGC